rnacentral:rRNA from 1 species
GACAGAGGGUGCAAACGUUGCUCGGAAUUACUGGGCGUAAAGCGCAUGUAGGCGGCUCUGUAAGUCGGAUGUGAAAGCCCUCGGCUUAACCGAGGAAGUGCAUUCGAUACUGCAGAGCUAGAGUAUCGGAGAGGGUCGUGGAAUUCCUGGUGUAGAGGUGAAAUUCGUAGAUAUUCGCAAGAACACCAGUGGCGAAGGCGGCUCACUGGCCCGAUACUGACGCUGAGGUGCGAAAGCGUGGGGAGCAAACAGG